rnacentral:rRNA from 1 species
GAUGGACGCUGGCGGCGUGCCUAAUACAUGCAAGUCGAGCGAACAGACGAGGAGCUUGCUCCUCUGACGUUAGCGGCGGACGGGUGAGUAACACGUGGAUAACCUACCUAUAAGACUGGGAUAACUUCGGGAAACCGGAGCUAAUACCGGAUAAUAUAUUGAACCGCAUGGUUCAAUAGUGAAAGACGGUUUUGCUGUCACUUAUAGAUGGAUCCGCGCCGCAUUAGCUAGUUGGUAAGGUAACGGCUUACCAAGGCAACGAUGCGUAGCCGACCUGAGAGGGUGAUCGGCCACACUGGAACUGAGACACGGUCCAGACUCCUACGGGAGGCAGCAGUAGGGAUUCUUCCGCAAUGGGCGAAAGCUUGACGGAGCAACGCCGCGUGAGUGAUGAAGGUCUUCGGAUCGUAAAACUCUGUUAUUAGGGAAGAACAAAUGUGUAAGUAACUAUGCACGUCUUGACGGUACCUAAUCAGAAAGCCACGGCUAACUACGUG